rnacentral:rRNA from 1 species
GSUCCGSGACAUUGUGAGAAGUCCACUGAACCUUAUCAUUUAGAGGAAGGAGAAGUCGUAACAAGGUUUCCGUAGGUGAACCUGCGGAAGGAUCAUUGUCGAAACCUGCAAAGCAGAACGACCCGCGAACGUGUUAUUACCUCACCUCGGCAGUGUGUUGUCGGCAGAGUCCCGACACAUUGCCGAGCAAAACUGAUCAUCGAGCGCGGUAUGCGCCAAGGAAAAUCGAAAAGAACGAAGCCGCCCGGUUGCGGCCCCGAAACGGUGGUCGCCUCGGGGAUGUGUUUGUUCCAUAAGUCAAAACGACUCUCGGCAACGGAUAUCUCGGCUCUCGCAUCGAUGAAGAACGUAGCGAAAUGCGAUACGUGGUGUGAAUUGCAGAAUUCCGUGAAUCAUCGAGUUUUUGAACGCAAGUUGCGCCCGAAGCCAUUCGGCCGAGGGCACGCCUGCCUGGGCGUCACGCAUCGUUGCCCACUCCGCAAGCCCAUUGCUCGUGCAACGGGGGAUGAGCUUGUCGGACGGGGGCGUACAUUGGCUUCCCGUUUGCGCGUCUUCCGGUUGGCCUAAAAAUGAAUUCGUCGGCCUGCGACCGCCGCGGCACACGGUGGUAUUCGAACAAAUCGUAACCCGCCGCGCGCGUUCGUCGGUCUGACGGACGACAUAGAACCCAAAUGCGUCGCCGUCUUCGUGCGGCGCUUCCAAUGCGACCCCAGGUCAGGCGAGAUUACCCGCUGAAUUUAAGCAUAUCAAUAAGCGGAGAAAAAAAAACUUU